rnacentral:rRNA from 1 species
GACGAACGCUGGCGGCGCGCUUAACACAUGCAAGUCGUGCGAUACCUCGAGCGAGUCUUACGACAAGCUCAAGGUAGAGCGGCGGACGGGUGAGUAACACGUGAGUAGCUGUCCUAAGGAGGGGGAUAACGCCUGGAAACGGGUGCUAAAACCCCAUAUGCCUCGCAAGAGGUGAAAGUGUAGCUUGCUACAGCCUUAGGGUGUGCUCACGGCCUAUCAGCUAGUUGGUGAGGUAAUGGCUCACCAAGGCUAAGACGGGUAGCCGGCCUGAGAGGGUGUACGGCCACACUGGAAUUGAGAUACGGUCCAGACUCCUACGGGAGGCAGCAGUGGGGAAUCUUGGGCAAUGGGCGAAAGCCUGACCCAGCGACGCCGCGUUGGGGAUGAAGCCCUUCGGGGUGUAAACCCAUGUUGUAGGGGACGAAGAAAGUGACGGUACCCUACGAGGAAGCCCCGGCUAACUACGUGCCAGCAGCCGCGGUAAGACGUAGGGGGCGAGCGUUGUCCGGAAUUACUGGGCGUAAAGGGCACGCAGGCGGUGCGCCAAGUCGAGGGUGUAAAGUUACGGCUCAACCGUGACAUUGCAAUCGAUACUGGCGCGCUGGAGUGCGGGAGAGGGAAGUGGAAUUCCCGGUGUAGCGGUGAAAAUGCGUAGAUAUCGGGAGGAACGCCAGUGGCGAAGGCGGCUUCCUGGCCCGCGACUGACGCUCAUGUGCGAAAGCCAGGGGAGCGAACC